GAUCUCAUUCUGGACCACAAAGUUCUGCUCCUCGCGCUUGAAGUUCUGGUGGGGGAAGCAGUGUUGGAGACCGGACAGGGUCUCGCUCUGUCGCCCAGGCUGGAGUGCAGUGGUGUGAUCUCAGCUCACUGCAACUUCCGCCUCCCAGGUUCCAAAUGAUUCUCCUGCCUCAGCCUCCCACUCAGGAAUACUUAGCUGGGACUACAGAGACAGGGUCUAGCCAUGUUGCCUAGGCUGGUCUCAAAUUCCUGAGCUCAAGUGAUCCUCCCGCCUCAGUCUCUCAAAGUGCUGGGAUUACAGUUGUAAGCCACUGCACCUGGCCCCAAACUUAUUCUUAUCUGCUCAUGAACAUUAAACAGAUGGUAUAAUAUGUAGUUUAUUUCUUGGU